rnacentral:rRNA from 1 species
UGCUAUUGGGAUUCGACUAAGCCAUGCGAGUCGUGAGGGUUCGGCCCUCGGCGAACGGCUCAGUAACACGUAGAUAAUUUGCCCUUAGGUGGAGGAUACCCUCGGGAAACUGAGAAUAAUACUCCAUAGAUUUAGAAUGCUGGAAUGCUUUUAAAUUGAAAGAUUUAUCGCCUAAGGAUAAGUCUGCGGACUAUCAGGUCGUAGUUAGGGUAAAUACCUGACUAGCCUACGACGGAUACGGGUUGUGAGAGCACUAGCCCGGAGAUGAUAUCUGAGACACGAUAUCAGGCCCUACGGGGCGCAGCAGGCGCGAAAACUUCGCACUGUGCGAAAGCACGACGAGGGAAUCCCAAGUGCUGGCUCGUAAGAGUCAGCUGUUUCUUUGUCUAAAAAACAGAGAGAGUAAGAGCUGGGUAAGACGGGUGCCAGCCGCCGCGGUAAUACCUGCAGCUCAAGUGGUGGCCGCUAUUAUUGGGCCUAAAACGUCCGUAGCCGGUUCUAUAAAUGCCUGGGUAAAUCGUACGGCUUACCGUAC